rnacentral:rRNA from 1 species
AUUGAACGCUGGCGGCAGGCUUAACACAUGCAAGUCGAGCGAGCGGCGGACGGGUGAGUAAUGUCUGGGAAACUGCCUGAUGGAGGGGGAUAACUACUGGAAACGGUAGCUAAUACCGCAUACCAUCAGAUGUGCCCAGAUGGGAUUAGCUAGUAGGUGGGGUAAUGGCACACCUAGGCGACGAUCCCUAGCUGGUCUGAGAGUAUGAACAGCCACCCUUGAACUGAGACAUGGUCCAGACUCCUACGGGAGGCAGCAGUGGGGAAUAUUGAACAAUUGGCGCAAGCCUGAUGCAGCCAUGCCGCGUGUGUGAAGAAGUCCUUCGGGUUGUAAAGCACUUUCAGCGAGGAUGCGUUACUCGAAGAAGAAGCACCGGCUAACUCCGUGCCAGCAGCCGCGGUAAUAC